GACGUAGGAGGCGAGCGUUGUCCGGAUUCAUUGGUCGUAAAGAGCACGCAGGCGGUUUUGCAAGUCGGAUGUGAAAACCCGGAGCUCAACUCCGGACCUGCAUCCGAAACUGCCCGACUAGAGGUAGGUAGGGGAGAUCGGAAUUCCUGGUGUAGCGGUGAAAUGCGCAGAUAUCAGGAGGAACACCGGUGGCGAAGGCGGAUCUCUGGGCCUUACCUGACGCUCAGGUGCGAAAGCUAGGGGAGCGAACAGG
rnacentral:rRNA from 1 species